CCUUUGUUUUCAGUUGCACAUAAUGUGUCUUAUUUGUCUGGUUUGGUUUAUCUCGCUGAAUGUUGCCGAAGAAAACGUCUACAUCUAUAAACAAAUACCUUCUGUUGUUAAUUUGUGCGGUCCUGAUUGUAAGACCAGGGCAUAGGGAGUCGUUUGCCAUGUGUAUUAAGCUUGGAGUAAAUUACAACACAAUUUCCCUGAAGGGGAUUAUUAAAAUAACAUAACAUUUUGUAUUUUUCCAUCAGUUCUAACUGUUCAGCAAACUGCCAUGGAAAUGUGGUUAAUAAUCCCAAAAUUACUUCUGCACUACAUUACAGUCUUCCACCUCCAUGUGUCUCUUGGAGGGGACCAAUAAGGGAGUGGGGUCCCUGUUGGAGGCGGGGCUUCACAUUACAAAGGAAAUGCUGAGGGAUGCACAGCUGGCCUAUCCGAGGACCCCGGCCCUACAGAGUCUAAAAUCCAAGGCAGUAGACCUGGCUUGUUCCCUACAGACCUACAUCCACUGCCACAUGACGGAGAGGGAGUCCGGCCCUGACAGAGUUGAUGAUGAAGACGAGGCCCAGGUGUCUCAUCUCCAGAAGCUGAGGGCUGUGGCUACCAUGCUGUUCCAGCUCAACAGGGCCAUCGCAGUACUCCACACCUGCCUGGCCGACACCCUGAGAGGUAAAGGCCGGGAGUCCAACCUGACCACCGGUAGUGCGGCCAUCAGCUCUUCCGCCCGGGCCGUUGGUGACCUCGUCCGCGGCCACUCUGAGGCGGUGGCCUCCGUCGACCCCGACCUGCCCUGUGCCGCGGAGGCUCUCGACCACACGGGCAGAGCUCCAGGCCGCCAUUCACACCCUGACCACCACCACCUCCGACCAGCAGGGGGCAGAAGGCAGGCAGUCCGCUGGCCCCAACAGCACCGGCUCCUUCCACACCGGCAACGACGACUCGGAUGUGUCCAAAGAUGGUUCCUUCCGGAACGAGGCAGCUGCUAAAGUGCUGUACUCCCUUGCCUCCGAUGUCUCGUCCAAUCGCAGUCCUCACUGGGUGUGAUUGACAGGUGUUCUGUAGAGCUUGACUCCGCCCCUCUUAGGGCUGUGUAUCUGUGCGUUUUGUGGUUUGUCACAGCUUGUUUUCACUUUUUUCACAUUGCUAUCUGCUUUUUGUUGAAAAUGUCCUGGCUUUGAGUCUCUUAUUAGUACUGUUAAAGUUUUUGUAUACCAGUUUUCUGGGUAAAUUGACCGAAACUAUAGGUACCGUUGGAACAGGAAAAGACAUUGAAAACACUUGUUCCCCACUCUACCAGAUCAUGCCCCUAUGCUGAUGUUCUAUGCUCUACUGUACCUUCUUAGGUCUAUCCAAAUUUGUACUAUAAAGGCUCCAAUGUAGGCCGAAACUGUCAUGUACGCAGUGUAUAAAAAGAAAGAUGAAUGGGCAUUGUUCCUGGCAGAUUUAUUAAUGGUCGUUUUGUGUGAAGGUAAAUAUGUUAUUCAUGAACAAAUAUUGGUGGAUCGGCAACUAUUGUAAUUCAGCAACCUUUAUCUUUGUAUAUCACAGUUGGCACUCAGGAUUGCUUGGAUUCUUGUAUUUCUUAAACUUGCACAGUUUUUUUUAUUUUCUUCUUCUGUUUACUUUGAUAUCAACUUUGUAUGUAUUUUGCAGCAUUUCAAGUAAUGAUAUGGGACAAGCUUGCGAUUUCAAAAGAUUGUAACCAUUUG
ensembl:lncRNA